CGUUCGACGAUUUUCCGGGUUGAUCCUGGCGGAGGUCACUGCUAUCGGGGUUCGAUUAAGCCAUGCGAGUCGAGAGGGUUCGGCCCUCGGCGUACUGCUCAGUAACACGUGGAUAACCUGCCCUAAGGAAGGGGAUACCCCCGGGAAACUGGGGAUAAUACCCUAUAGGUUACAGAUGCUGGAAUGCUCUGUACCCGAAAGUUCCGGCGCCUUAGGAUGGAUCUGCGGCCGAUUAGGUUGUUGUCGGGGUAACGGCCCAACAAGCCAGUAAUCGGUACGGGUUGUGGGAGCAAGAGCCCGGAGUUGGAUUCUGAGACACGAAUCCAGGCCCUACGGGGCGCAGCAGGCGCGAAAACUUUACAAUGCGGGCAACCGUGAUAAGGGAACCUCGAGUGCCUGUAUAUGCAGGCUGUCUGGGUGUCUAAAACACACCUAAAGAAAGGGCCGGGCAAGACCGGUGCCAGCCGCCGCGGUAAUACCGGCGGCUCGAGUGGUGGCCACUUUUAUUGGGCUUAAAGCGUUCGUAGCUGGGUUAUUAAGUCCCUUGGGAAAUCCGACGGCUUAACCGUCGGGCGUCUAAGGGAUACUGGCAAUCUUGGAACCGGGAGAGGUGAGGGGUACUUCGGGGGUAGGAGUGAAAUCCUGUAAUCCUCGAGGGACCACCUGUGGCGAAGGCGCCUCACCAGAACGGCUUCGACAGUGAGGGACGAAAGCUGGGGGAGCAAACCGGAUUAGAUACCCGGGUAGUCCCAGCCGUAAACGAUGUGCGUUAGGUGUAUCGGUGACCACGAGUCACCGAGGUGCCGAAGGGAAACCGUGAAACGUACCGCCUGGGAAGUACGGUCGCAAGGCUGAAACUUAAAGGAAUUGGCGGGGAAGCAC
rnacentral:rRNA from 1 species